UACGUAGGGGCCGAGCGUUGUCCGGAGUUAUUGGGCGUAAAGCGCGCGCAGGCGGCCUCGCGCGCCCGACGUGAAAGCCCCCGGCUUAACCGGGGAGGGUCGUUGGGGACGGCGGGGCUUGAGGGCGGGAGAGGUCGGUGGAAUUCCCGGUGUAGUGGUGAAAUGCGUAGAGAUCGGGAGGAACACCUGUGGCGAAGGCGGCCGACUGGGCCGACCCUGACGCUGAGGCGCGAAAGCGUGGGGAGCAAACAGG
rnacentral:rRNA from 1 species